GAAUUCGAUUCAGGCCUAACACAUGCAAGUCGAGCGGGGUUUUCGGACCUAAAGAAGGACGGGUGAGUAAUGCGUAGGAAGCUACCCGAUAGAGGGGGAUACCAGUUGGAAACGACUGUUAAUACCGCAUAAUGUCUACGGACCAAAGUGUGGGACCUUCGGGCCACAUGCUAUCGGAUGCGCCUACGUGGGAUUAGCUAGUUGGUGAGGUAAUGGCUCACCAAGGCGACGAUCUCUAGCUGGUUUGAGAGGAUGAUCAGCCACACUGGAAUUGAGGGACGGUCCAGACUCCUACGGGAGGCAGCAGUGGGGAAUAUUG
rnacentral:rRNA from 1 species